GACGAACGCUGGCGGCGUGCUUAACACAUGCAAGUCGAACGGAAAGGCCCUGCUCUUGUGGGGUGCUCGAGUGGCGAACGGGUGAGUAACACGUGAGUAAACUGCACUUGACUUUGGGAUAACUUCAGGAAACUGGGGCUAAUAUCGGAUAGGAGAUACUGCUGCAUGGUGGGGGUUGGAAAGUUUCGGCGGUUGGGGCUGGACUCGCGGCUUAUCAGCUUGUUGGUGGGGUAGUGGCUUACCAAGGCUUUGACGGGUAGCCGGCCUGGGCGGGUGACCGGCCACAUUGGUACUGAGAUACGGCCCAGACGCCUACGGGAGGCAGCAGUGGAGAAUAUUGCACAAUGGGCGGAAGCCUGAUGCAGCGACGCCGCGUGCGUGAUGACGGCCUUCGGGGUGUAAACCGCUUUCGCCUGUGACGAAGCGUGAGUGACGGUAAUGGGUAAAGAAGCACCGGCUAACUACGUG
rnacentral:rRNA from 1 species